AAAACAAGCAAAGUUGGUUAUGUAAAAGAAAUUCUACUAAUCAGCCUAAUGUAUUCUCUUACCACAAUUUACAAUACGUCUGUAUGCUUAACAUGUGAGGGUAAACAAAACAUUUAUAUUUUACUAGUGAAACAACAUUUCUAUUUGUUUAAGAGGCAGGUCCCUGCAUUCCCUAUACUGAUUUUGUUCAAAGAAAUAGUUCACAAAGAAUUCCUGUACCCCAACAUAUACUUACUUUAAACCAAGUAUCCUAAUAUUGGCAA